UACGGGGGGGCAAGCGUUGUUCGGAAUUACUGGGCGUAAAGGGCUUGUAGGUGGCCAACUAAGUCAGACGUGAAAUCCCUCGGCUCAACCGAGGACGUGCAUCCGAAACUGCGAGCUCGAGUAUGGAAGAGGGUCGCGGAAUUCCCGGUGUAGAGGUGAAAUUCGUAGAUAUCGGGAGGAACACCAGUGGCGAAGGCGGCGACCUGGCCGAAUGAC
rnacentral:rRNA from 1 species